rnacentral:lncRNA from 1 species
AAGAGAUACAGGCUGGUGGGAAAGCUGCGACCAGCAAGGCCAUAUACUCCCCCUCCCCUACUAAAAGCCCAAAUAAAAACCCUUCCUUUUAGCUUUUCAAGGAGUUUGGGAUUUGAGCGUUAGCUGCCGUCUCUCCUUACUCAGUGCUGUGCAAUAAUAAAAUCCUACUUCCACUACACCUGGUGUCAGAGAUUGGCUUGCUGCACAACGGGACUGGCUGGAAAUAAUGGGUACCUGGCAGCCCUCUGGGCUCCGUUUGUUUGGAAGUUGCCGCCACGCCCUAGCCAAAUUUUGGUAAGUCCCCCGGGUGUGCACAACCGAGGUCCCUUGUCCUUGCUCAUUUGGGAAGAUCUGGAUGGUGGAUCCUCAUUUGUUGGGCGCCCCCGAGUGUAGGACACGGACUAAGCUGCGACUGGAAGCACUUUGGUUUUUGGUUUUUUGUUUUGGCUUCCAUUUGUGGCCGAGGGUUUUGGGGACAGCACAUUCGUUUGGUAUUUGUUGUUUGUCUUUCCUUUUAAAAGUGUUAACAUGGGAGGUGCCUCAUCUAUUCCACCUAAGAGCCCCUUGGGAAAAACUCUGGCUGACUGGUCGACCUAUAGUUAUAAGCCAAUGUCUAAAGAGGGAUGAUUUUCUUUUCUAACACCACACGGCCACAAUAUUCUUUAGACUCCAGAGAGAAAAUGGCCAAACAAUGGAUCUUUAAGUGGGGAAACUUUUCAGAGAGCUCUCAUCAUCAACAGCUGUUUUAUGGGUACCUAUGAAAAGAUCAAAUUAAAAGGAAACUAUAAUGACUAGUCUUGAGAACCUAAUCAAACUUGAGGUCUCAGCUUCUUCCUCUGGUCUUACAGACGCUAAUGAAAACGUUAACACAGAGAAAUCAGAACGGGAAGAGCCAGAGGACCCAUCCCAAGAGGAUGGAAAUCUUUAGCUAGUUAUUUAAAAAAAUGGGAUAAACGGAACAGACAUAAAUAAAACUAAACCAAAGGUUUUAAUAAAACACUGCUUAAGGUCAGACGGGCUAAAGGGACCCCUCUGUUGGCCCCCCAACAUUAAAGGACAAACCUGUCCUAUUCACCCCAGUUUGAAAAAUUUUAAAAGUUCAGGAGGCAGAAAUCAGAGUGAGAAACCUGACCAGCAACUGUUUGGGGCAACAGUUAGGCUACUAAGGUUGAUAAGACUAUAAAAAUUAAAGUGUUUAAACUAAUAUUAGAUGAAGAGGUUGUGCCAACUUUGCCUGGAUUUUUUAGGGGGAAUAAAUGUUAUGUCUAACUGGGAAUGCUUUCCCUACAUAAUAUUGUCAUCCCAAAGCUUGUGAAUGGAAUUCUAAUAUAAGUUAUAAUUAGGGGUAUAAGAGUUGAAAAAUUAAGAUAAAAAUUUGUAGAAAUUGGUAUAUUUAAAUGGGCUUUAUGUAAAAUGAUUGCAUCUCUUUUGUCUGAUUGUAUUGUAAAUUACGUUACGGGGAUAAACAUUAUGUCUCACUGGGGAACAUUUUUCCUGCCUGGUAUUGUAAGAACAUAGAAAUCUACCUUUCAGGCUAUGUUAAUUAAACAUGCUAAAGGAGAGCCCACUUUAAAAUGGCCAAAAUGGGCCAAUUUCAGUUUACCCAAACUGAUGUAUGCAAUUGGAAAAGCCAGCUACGACGGGAAGCCUGUUUUCAUCUUUUGAGGCUUCUAAAUAAAAUCAGAAAUACUUUACUGCCUCUUUAAGAGAAAAUAAUUAAAGAAAGAAACAUGCCAGCAGCCAAACCCAAAUCUGGGGCUUUUCUCUUCUCUCUUGCUGACCUUCCCAGCAAGCUGAGCUUCGCUUCAACUCCCCCGAAAUUCCUGAUCUAAAAUUGAACAAGUAAAAAGAAAUCAACUUUUGAGAUAAUGUGGAAUUGUAAUGGUCAUUCUGAAAACCUGUUUCAGAAAAGAGAGAAUUCAAAAACUCUCAUAAUGGAAUGCAGUCUUGGAUUAACAAGUCAAAACUUCUAAAAGACCAAGUUAUUUAACAUGAUAUAAAAUGAUCUUUGAUGAAUAAAAGCCUGUUGAAGUUUGCUGGUUUGAUUUAAAAUAGACACGUUCUCAGAUUUACCCGCGUUGGCUAUGAUGCAGACACACAGCCUGGGUUUACUGGUCAAAUGAGCUCAUGUCAUCUCUGCCACGAAAUUUAUCAGCAAAACUAACGACUCAGUAUAAUAGCUAAUUUUGUUUAAUGUCUCAUGAGGUUCUUGUACAUGAUCUAAAUAUAAUUGUUAAAGACAGAUAAACUAAAUAAAUAUAAAAGGAUAAAAGUUUUUGGAAAAACUUUUUAAUAAUAAUUAUAUGUAUUAUGAUGUAUAUGCUUAAAACAACUGAAGAUGAUGGUUAAUGCUGUCAUGUCACAUGAAGUUUUUAAGAGUAAUUUAAACAUAAUUGUUAAAACUGGGUAAGAGUUUGAAGUACAAUAAUUAUGUUUUAGAGACUACAUACUUAAAAAACAGCUUCCAAAAAUCUUUUUGGAAACUUCAACUUUAUAGCUUUACUAAGUUAAGUUAAAUAAUAACAGUUUAUUGGGUAUCUAGGUCAUUUCCACAUAAGAUAAAAUAUUAAAGGUUAACUACUAAGCAUAGAUUUGUCUGCCUUUGGUUUCUUAUAUCAAAGAAACUGAAAAGUGCUUAGGUUUAUUGAUAAACGUUUUAUGUAUGCUGAGGCAUUUUCUAUGAGAAAACAUAUUUCUAAAAGGUCUGUAUACAAGGAAGUUAAAAUAUAUGUUUUCAGUAUAAAAAUAUAAAAAAUGAAAAUAUUUUUGUUUCUUGAGUUCAGAAAGAUAAUUUGUCCUAAAGUACUGGGACAAAUUCCGAAUGUAAAGAAAGUAACGAAAGGUUUGUGAAAGUGAAACCCUGUGGAAUUUUGUGCAUGGUCAAGUUGGCUAAGACUAAAAUGAAUCCAAUUAAGUAAAUAAACUUAUAUGUCAAAAGUCAACUGGUACAAAAUUAAAACUUGGUUUCCCCUUUCUUAAAAGGAUAAUUUUCCUAAACUUUUAAUCUGCUUUUGAUAAAAAGAUUAUUAAAAGGGGUUUUUUUCACUAUUGUAACACUGUUUCCCCUUGACUGUUUCUGUUGUCACUUUGAAUAGAUACCUGAACAUGGUUUCGCAGUGAGUUUUGUUUCCUAUCUGAACAAAUAUUUUAAAGCUUUUAAUAUUUUUGACAAUCUUCCCCCCCCCCCCGAAAAAAUAUUCAAGUCCUGAAUAAAAGCUUUCUUUUGACCUGGAAAAGGAGGGAGAGUUUCUCUGGGGAUUUUCAGAGGGCCCCUGGGACUUCUCAGAAAUAUUUGCUCUCUUUCUAUAAGAAAAAAAUGCUAAACUAAUUAGGCUUGUUUGACGUAUUAGACUAUAUGGGAAGCAUUGUCAAAUAAAGUAAUAAUAAACUUUCUUAAAUGGUAUUAUGUGAGUGAGUGUUAUUGAUACAAGUAUUUAAACAAUUAUCUAAAAUUCUGAUCUGUUCUGAUUGUCAGCCAUAAUUCUGGUUAUUAUCUCAAAGUAUUAUAUGUCACAGACAUGGUCAGAUGUCUUUGUCAAUUGCCACUUUUGGAUGUUUUGUUGUUUGCAGACAGCUAUUUGACGUUUUUGCAAAUGUGUUUCACCUUUAGAGAAAUUCAUGGAGAGGACCCUGGCGCUUACUCUAGAGUGCAGGUUCUGAUAAACGUUUGGACUGUAAAACUAAACUGGGUAGAAAUUACAGAACCCUAACAGAGGAACUGAUGACCUCGCAAACUGCUGACACAAGAUUAAGUCAAGAACCAAUUACACAUAGGGAUGAUUAUAAUUUUUAUGGCUUUUUCAUUGAGAUAUUGCUGAUUUUUGAUGUUUUGUUUUUUUCCAGUUUUAAGAAAACCUUUUUCUCUAUUCUCUUAAGAACUAUGAUAUAUAACAAAUGUAAACAAAAUUGAAUCAUUCAUCUUUUUCUCCCUAUCUGACCCCUCCAAAACAUAAAAACUCAUGAUGAGUAAGUAUUCUUAUUCUCACGGCAAUAUGGUUGUUUGCAUACGUCCGAUAAGAAUCUGUUUUCUUAUAACAGGACACAAUUGGAAACACUCGUUAUAACACCAAGGCUUUGACUGGGACAUCAUAUUUGAGAAAAACACACAAGCUCGGAUAUGAUGAGACAGCUUUUGAGGAACCAAGGUUGACUUUCUGGAAUAAAGCCACUUGGAAAUAUUGGCCUGGUACUGUGCUUAUGGGUUCAGUAACCUGGUAAGGUUGAGCAAAGAAUGUCGCUCCCUCUGGCAGGUACAAGGAACCCCAAUAUUUCGGGGACCUCAUGAAGAGAGGAAGUCACCCAAAUCUUUGGGUAUUGCAGGUGGAAUCUGAUGACAAGCUCUUAGUCUGGCUUUCCUGGGCUAGAGAGGCCUUUAAAGUUCAACCUGAGAUUCCUUAUAAGGUUCCAGCAAAGCAGAUUUAAAAGAGCCUAUGUAAUCAAUUACUAUUCUUGCUGUACUUAUGCACAAAUUUGUUAAAACUAGACUGAUUUUGCAAACCAGUUAGUCUUAAUUUAGCUAUCUUUAUAAAAAUGAGGGUGAUUUUAGAGAGAAAGAUGGUGUUUCAAUAGAGACUAUAAUACACAUUUGUGGAUACUGGAUUUUGGUUGUGUCAAUUGUCUUUAAGAUUUUUGUUACAUCUGUUAACUGGGCUGGAUCCUGAAUUCUUCUAGUCUCAUGAACUAUCUGGCUACAAACCUCCAAACUAACAUUUUCAGGGCUUUUUCCCCCCAUCAUUUUCAUUUGGAGUCAUUGAAAACUAAAUCUGCCCUUUUUCCUGAAGCCUUGCAAACUGAAGCUGGAGGACCCAAUAUAAACUUAAGAGAGAUUCAUGUCUGUUGCUGUGUAAGCCACUCAGAAAGCUACCUGAGUGCCUGAUGACACCAUCAGAGACAUUUCAAACUGCAAAAGAUGCUUCGACCCUGACUUCUAGGAAUCUUGAUUGGCUGCCCCGUGGGCUCAGAAACUGGUUUAUAAUUUGCUCCAACUGUUAACUUUGUUUUUCUCUUUUUGUUUCUACAGAAAAACUUCUUAUUAAAUACCUGGUUACUUACUUACAUGAUACAGGCCUAACUUCAGGAGCCCACCAGCAUCACCGCCUUAUUAAAAGACUGGUUCAAUGAGAUGAAACGACCUAUGCCCCAUUUCAGCAGGAAGUAGCUAGAUCGGUUGCCACCCCAAAUCCCUCAAGAUUGAGGGACGGACAUAAAAUAGGGGGGAGUUGAUAUCGACCCUGAUAUCAGUUUCCCCACAUUAAACCCAGCAUAUAUGGGGUUAAAACCCAAACACUCAUUCCCUGCUUACUCUCUGGCUUCCUGGCUCCAGAAUCCACUAUCCUCCAUGGAGACAGACACCGUCAAAGACAAGCACCUGGACCAUCUCCUCCCCACAAAGAGAUACAGACUGGUGGGAAAGCUUCUGACCAGCAAGGUCAUGAACUCCCUCCUGUCUGCAAGUGUCUCAAGGCCAGAGACAGGCUGGUGGGAAAGCUCCGACCAGCAAGGCCAUAUGCUCCCCCUCCCCUACCUAAAGCCCCAAAUAAAAACCCUUCCUUUUAGCUUUUUCGGGGAGUUUGGGAUUUCAGCAUUAGCUGCCCUCUCUCCUUGCUCAGUGCUGUGCAAAAAUAAAGUUCCUACUUUCUUCCACCACACCCGGUGUCAGAGAUCGGCUUGCUGUGCAACGGGUGAGCGAACUCACUUCAGGUUCCAUAUCAGUCACACCAUGCUGUGGUAGGUGUCCCACAUAAAAUAGAGGAAGAUGGGCAUGGAUGUUAUCUCAGGGCCAAUCUUCCUCAAAAAAAAAAAAAAAUAAAGGAAACUAAAGCUCAGAGAGAAGUGACUGCCCUCAGACAUCACAGUUAAGAGGAGGGAUUCGAACCCAUAACCCUGCCUCCCUCCUUGUUCAGCCCCCAACCUACACUGCCUCUUUCCACCAUUAACAAUACCAGCCUUAUGCACGGAGGAUGAGGAAUCUGCGGGUUGAAGUGGUUUGGAAGGGCCUGGUGGACCAGCUGGGAGGGACCAGGGAAGGGUCUCCAGUCCGUAAGUCCCACGUGGAACCUUCUAGGGCCCGGGGAGGGCCAGGCUGCCACCUGAGUCACCCGCGUCCUCUUCAUCACUGGGGCAGCUCCAAUUUCCUGGGCCCUCCAUCCGUGCCGGGACCUUCGAGUCUCAAAGCUCCCAGGGCUGGGUCCUGUUCUCGUCCUCAUCUUCCAAGUGUGUAGAACCAGAGCUCAGAGAAACUCAUCAACUUGCCCGAGGACACACAGCUGACAAAUGGCUGAGCCUGAAGCAAACUCAAUUCCAAUGCCAGGUGAUAGAGAGGAAGUGUGAGAAAUCAGGCUGGCGUGAAAGUCAUCGUCCAGCCCGCUCCGAGUCCUUACCUCCAUGAGCGGAUGGGGGGAGUCACUUCUUGUCUUCCCACUAUCUUGGCCAAGACAACAGAUUCUCAAGACAGACCAAUGCCGACGUCAGCCAAGGAACCAGCCUUGUGCAGUUGGCUGUGACCUUGGAGAUGAGGUCAUGAGGACAGGCAUGGCUGUCUUGACCCUCCUGGUGGGUAUGGGCUGAGGGGGGCCCUAUGCACAUCUGCCACACCCGCCAAGGGCCAAGGGGGACCCCUGUUGUUUGCAGUUAAGGCCAUGGAUCCCACAGCCGGGCUACUUAUGUUCAUCCGAGCUCGGCCAUACCCUGGGGGCUGUGGGACUUUGGGUGAGUCCUUGAAUGGCUCUGUGCCCACCUGGCACAGGGUCAAUGGUCACACCGACCUCAAGGGGUAGGUGUGAGGGUUACACAAGAUGGCGGGAGUGCAGCACUGUGAAUAGUGCCUGGCACGUGGUGAGCCUUUGAUAAAUGUCAGCCACAUGGAUUAUGAUGAUGAUGAUGGUGAUGAUGAUGAUUUCUCUCUCUCUCUUUCAUUGUAGGACUGACAGAGAAUAUGGAUAUUCUCUGUGUGGGCACCUAUCUGUCAGUCCAAGAGGUGAUACCUGGAAGGGCGGGAAGAGAAUGAUGGGGCCGGGCAGAAGAGGAAGCUCCUAGGGGCUCCCUUGAGACCUCCUCCCUCCUAGUUUCCUGAUCAUUCGUCUGCGGGAUGCUCCCAUCUUGCUGUGAGCCCUGGGGCCUGCGUUCCUCUCCUCUCACCAGCUGCCAACACCCCAUCGCCCAGCUCACUAGGUCCCUGGAAGCCACCUAAACGAGCAGCCUAUUUUUCACCAAACUCUUGGGCUAUAAGCAAAAGAGACAUACCAAACUGGCUCAAUAAAAAACAAAAGGAAGAAUUUAAUAUGAGGAUCUGGGAACCCAAGGGUGUAUCAGUUAGCAUUUGCUGCCUGACAAACUACCCCCCAAAACUUCAUGACUUGAACCCACAGCUGUUCAUUUAGUUUGCAAUUCUGCGGGUUAUCCACUGGGGCCAGGCUCAGCCAGGCAGCUCUUCUGCUCCCUGCUGGACUCCCUCACGUGUCUGUGGUCAGCCGGCAGGUCCUCCGGGCCCUGAGUGGGCUUCUACAGCCUCAGCUGGGACGAGUGGCCUCUCCUCCACGUCAUCGAUCAUCCUCUAGCCGGCGGCCCCGGGCCUCUUCUCAUGACAGAGGCUGGAUUCCAAGAGUGAGGGCAGAAGUCGACACGCCUCGCAGAGCCAAGGUCGUGAUCACUUCUGCCACAUUCAGUCGGCCAAAGUGUGUCACACGGCCAGCCAGAGGCAAGGGGGUAGGGACGCUGACUGCACCCACGGACGGGAGGGGAAGAACCCAUGGCUGGUUCUGCCAUCUGGCACCAAAGGCUGGAUGUGUGGUCGGAGAGCAGGAAAGCUGCUGGGCCCAGGGCACCUGCUCGCUGACCCUCAGCCCCAUCCCUCACCCCUUGGAAUCCUCUUCUCCAGGGUCGUGGGACCCACCGUUCUCUCCCUCUGUCUCCAUGCCAAUGGGCGCUCACCGCUUCUCCGUCCACCAUCCCGUGGCUUCCACGUCCACCGCACCUCUGUUCGAGGGACCUGCCAACUGGCCCAGAAUCCUUUGCCUUGUGGCUGGAUUUCCGAUGACCCUGGAGAAGGCGUCCAGUGGGUCUGGUGUCAGCCUCAGUCCCCUUGCUCAAAUCUCCGGGGGCCUCGGACCUGUCUGGGGGGGCUCAGUGCUCAGAAAACAGGGGGCAGGUUUUGCCUUACCUGCUGGGAAGACACCCCAAAAAUAUGUCUUCUACACAUGCAGCUUGGUUUUGCUGCUUUAAAAAAAGGAACUUCCACACACAGAGAAGUGGCAGAAGCGGUCACGACCCCCGGAAAUCAACAGCUUCCUCUCCCUGGAGAAUCCUGAUGGGCGGCAGGCAAUGGGGAAACGAGCGUGGAUGAAACCCCCGUGUGAAUCUAUGCAACAGUUGAGGAACGGUCAGUGCUGCUGUGACCGACACAAAGCCACCGACCACGUCACUGUGAUUAGUAAUAAUAGCAGUAGACCGACUUCAGGUUUCGGCUGAGGGCUGUCUGCGUCCCAGCCACCUCCCUACGUUCCUUAUGGGACUCAUAUGUUGUAUCCUCACUGUACCCAUUGAGGGAAAGAGAAGCCAGCCCCACCUUAGAGACGAAGCAGGUGAGGCUCAGAGAUGGCAAGCGACUUGCCCAAGGUCACACAGCCACAUGUGAUGCCAACUCCAGUCUGCCCAAUUCCCAAGCCUACCCCUUAGACCAGCGUGUCCCGCAGAACUCUCUGUGGUGGUGGAAAUGUGCUCUCUCAGCUCCGUCCAGUGCCUGUGGCUCUUGAGUCCUUGAAAUGUGGAGAGUGUAACUGAGGAACUGAAUUUUUAAUUUAGUUAAUUAAUUUUAAUAUAUAUUGCCACCUGCGACUAGAGGCUAUUGUACCAGACAGUGCAACUCUAAAUCCUAAUUGUUAAAUUGUUAAAAAUAAUAAAUCCCAGGGCUGGCCUGGUGGCACAGUGGUUAAGUUUGCGUGCUCCGCUUUGGCAGCCCGGAGUUCACUUGUUCGGAUCCCAGGCGCGGACCUACGUACUGCUCAUCACACCAUGCUGUGGCAGGCGUCCCGUAUACAAAAUAGAGGAAGAUGGGCACAGAUGUUAGCUCAGGGCCAAUCUUCCUCAGCAAAAAAAAAAAAAAAAAAAAAGGAGGUUGGCAGCAGAUGUUAGCUUGGAGCUAAUCUUUCUCAAAAAUAAUAACUAUAAAAGACCCCCAAGUGUAGAUCGCUGACUCUGUGGCUGUCCUGGGGUCCUCGCCCUGGUCUGUCCAAGGGUCCCAAUUUGCUCGGAAGGCCCUAAUAUCUAACCAGCUCCUUCCCCCCCCAGAUGUCCUGCUGUGCCCUUUCCUCCUGGGGGAAGUGAGUCGCUUCCACCUGGGGAGUGACAGGAGAGGAGCCGGCUCCUGCAGUCAGAGGGGUCAGAGGUGACACUGCAGCCACCGCCUCGGCCACCAACCAGCGUCCAGCUGUCCUCCGGCCGAGGCUCCAGCCGCAACCCCCGUCCUUCGGGACGGCUGAGAAUUCUCGCGAUAUUCCUCCUCCAGUAAACCGGGCCGACUUCCUCCCAGAGGCCUCCUGCCCCUCUGGUUACAAGUCCAGCCCCGGGCUGAGCGCUGUCGGGGUGCUGCCAGGCUUGCAGCACUUGUCACGUCGUGUCCCUAAAUAUCUCACAUUUGGGGUUAUUUUAACUUUUAUCGCAUCCGUUAGACUGUCAGCUCCGUGAGCGCAAGACCCGUCUCUGCCAUACGGUAGGUGCUCCAGAAAUGUUUGUUGAGUGAAUGAAUGAGAGACGAAAACCACACCACGGGGAAAACUCAGAGGGUCCGAAGUGGAGGCGUUGGCCACGGCCCAGACUCUUCUCUGAGCUGGAGUUUCACUGGAAUAACUCGACCCAAGCUCCCCUCACUCUCUCGGUCAGCAAAACAGGCGUCGGGGGCCCCUGGCCUGACCUCUGGUGGAUAAAUGGUCAUCUCACCACGGGAGAACAGCCCAGUGUGGACGGCAGCUGGGGUAGAGAUUGCCCUCAGGGCCCCAGAACUCAUUCUCUCCUCCCUCCAUAGUAACCGGAUCCUCGAUUUUUAGCUGGGCACCUGAUGUCCAAAGGGGAAAAGUCCUAUAUCGUCAUAAGAUGUGAGAAGUGCCAUGUGUGACUUGCAGAAUGUACCCUCAAAAGGAGGGGGCGUCCUUUCCUCUCGGUGGGAAUGGGAAUGUGAUGGCUGGAGCUGAGCAGCCAUGUUGGAUCAUGAGGUGAACGUCGCACGUGGAGGAGGACAGAGGUGUGCUGCACUCGGCUUGUGCCGGCUCACAAGAGCUCACUGUGCACAUCUUCUCCCAAGUCUGCGUGUAAUGAUGACACACUGAUAGCUGGAAACCACCUAUGGUAGUGACGUCUACACUGUGAACAUUGGAAAACGCUGCAAGUCAGGAAUUUUGGGGGAAGAGCUGAUUUACUGCUGGCAAAUGGGAGCCUGGAGGCUCCGUGAAGCCAUCCAACCAGCCCUGUCUUAAAUACCACUGGAUUCCUUCGAGAUGAAAGGAGAAACAAAGCUCUGUCUUACUUAAACCCCUGUUGUCUUAGUUCUGCUUUCCCUGCAGCCCUGAUGGAGAUAGCGAACCCCGAGAUUUAAGCCAUAAAGUCGAAGAUUUAAAGGCCGCUUGGCCAAACCAAGGCCCAAUGGCGAGGAGGGAGCCUGUGACCACAGGUGGGCGUGAACGAAUGGGGCCACCGAGAAAGCGUGAGCUGGGAACAGACAAAAUAAUGUCCCAGCAUCCCCCACGGGGAAAAAGGGAAACUUCCACCAAUUUGUCAAAAGUAAGAGACAUUAGAUAAGAAAACCGAGAGCCCUGCAGCUGUUCUGGUGGUUCUGUGACCACGCAGACAUCACACACUGUGUACCCAGAUAGGAGACAAAAGUAAAGAAAAACUGGAACUUCCCUACAUCACGCGGGCAUUCUGUGCCUCCCCGGUGGCCGUAUCUGUCGUGAGGCGCUCGGCGACCACAGGUGGAAGCAAAGAAGGGGGAGGGGGGAUUUGGCUUCGUGCUGCCCCUGGGCAGCCACUCUCACUUUAGUCAGAGUUGGCUAACUGCUGCAAUAAAUACCUUUAACCCAGUAAAAGUGUGUUUCUCACCCAUGUACAGUCCAGUGGAGGUCACUGGGGACCCAGACUCUGUUCUGUGUCGUCAUUCAGGCACCCAUGCUCCUUCUCGCCUGUGUCUCUGCCCUGCUCUGGGUGACAGGAUCACAAGUGAUAUGAGAACUUCUAAGAAAUGUAAUCUAGCGGAGUUCCUGGAAAUAAGAGGAAAUGGGUUUAGUGAACAGCUAGCCAGUCUCCCUCGUUCUUUUGUGCUUACCCAGUUCUCUGCUGCCACCGGGCAUUUGCACAUGCCAUCCCCUGUGGCCAGAAUGCUUUCCUCUCCUCUCUUCACCCAGUUAAUUCCUACUCAUUUAAAAGUCCCAACUCAGUAAACACCUGCCUGAGUUUCAUCAGCCAGCAAACCUCUCCUUCUCAUUAGGCAUCAAAAAUUGCAUUUUGAAGUGCUGGGGUGAUCUUUUGAUAACGUCUGU